CCUACGGGCGGCUGCAGUGGGGAAUAUUGGACAAUGGGGGGAACCCUGAUCCAGCCAUGCCGCGUGUGUGAAGAAGGCCCUCGGGUUGUAAAGCAAUUUCAGUGAGGAAGAACGCCUGGUGGUUAAAACCCAUCAGGAAAGACAUCACUCACAGAAGAAGCACCGGCUAACUCCGUGCCAGCAGCCGCGGUAAUACGGAGGGUGCGAGCGUUAAUCGGAAUUACUGGGCGUAAAGCGCGCGUAGGUGGCUUGAUAAGCCGGUUGUGAAAGCCCCGGGCUCAACCUGGGAACGGCAUCCGGAACUGUCAAGCUAGAGUUCAGGAGAGGAAGGUAGAAUUCCCGGUGUAGCGGUGAAAUGCGUAGAGAUCGGGAGGAAUACCAGUGGCGAAGGCGGCCUUCUGGACUGACACUGACACUGAGGUGCGAAAGCGUGGGUAGCAAACAGGAUUAGAUACCCCAGUAGUC
rnacentral:rRNA from 1 species